CUACGUGCCAGCAGCCGCGGUAAUACGUAGGGCGCGAGCGUUGUCCGGAAUUAUUGGGCGUAAAGAGCUUGUAGGCGGUUUGUCGCGUCUGCUGUGAAAGGCCGGGGCUUAACUCCGUGUAUUGCAGUGGGUACGGGCAGACUAGAGUGCAGUAGGGGAGACUGGAAUUCCUGGUGUAGCGGUGGAAUGCGCAGAUAUCAGGAGGAACACCGAUGGCGAAGGCAGGUCUCUGGGCUGUAACUGACGCUGAGAAGCGAAAGCAUGGGGAGCGAACAGGAUUAGAUACCCUGGUAGUCCAUGCCGUAAACGUUGGGCACUAGGUGUGGGGGACAUUCCACGUUUUCCGCGCCGUAGCUAACGCAUUAAGUGCCCCGCCUGGGGAGUACGGCCGCAAGGCUAAAACUCAAAGAAAUUGACGGGGGCCCGCACAAGCGGCGGAGCAUGCGGAUUAAUUCGAAGCAACGCGAAGAACCUUACCAAGGCUU
rnacentral:rRNA from 1 species